rnacentral:rRNA from 1 species
GUGAACGCUGGCGGUAGGCCUAACCCAUGCAAGUCGAACGGCAGCACAGUAAGAGCUUGCUCUUACGGGUGGCGAGUGGCGGACGGGUGAGGAAUACAUCGGAAUCUACUUUUUCGUGGGGGAUAACGUAGGGAAACUUACGCUAAUACCGCAUACGACCUACGGGUGAAAGCAGGGGAUCUUCGGACCUUGCGCGAUUGAAUGAGCCGAUGUCGGAUUAGCUAGUUGGCGGGGUAAAGGCCCACCAAGGCGACGAUCCGUAGCUGGUCUGAGAGGAUGAUCAGCCACACUGGAACUGAGACACGGUCCAGACUCCUACGGGAGGCAGCAGUGGGGAAUAUUGGACAAUGGGCGCAAGCCUGAUCCAGCCAUACCGCGUGGGUGAAGAAGGCCUUCGGGUUGUAAAGCCCUUUUGUUGGAAAAGAAAAGCAGCAGGUUAAUACCCCGCUGUUCUGACGGUACCCAAAGAAUAAGCACCGGCUAACUUCGUG